rnacentral:tRNA from 1 species
GCAGCCCCGGGGUGAGGUCACGUCGAGUUGCAAAUUCGAAGAAGCACCCCCCAAAGGGUGCCGGGGCUUCUCCCGUUU